rnacentral:rRNA from 1 species
AGUGAACGCUGGCGGUAGGCCUAACACAUGCAAGUCGAACGGCAGCACAGUAAGAGCUUGCUCUUACGGGUGGCGAGUGGCGGACGGGUGAGGAAUACAUCGGAAUCUACUUUUUCGUGGGGGAUAACGUAGGGAAACUUACGCUAAUACCGCAUACGACCUACGGGUGAAAGCAGGGGAUCUUCGGACCUUGCGCGACUGAAUGAGCCGAUGUCGGAUUGGCUAGUUGGCGGGGUAAAGGCCCCCCAAGGCGACGAUCCGUAGCUGGUCUGAGAGGUUGAUAAGCCACACUGGAACUGAGACACGGUACAGACUCCUACGGGAGGCAGCAGUGGGGAAUAUUGGACAAUGGGCGCAAGCCUGAUCCAGCCAUAUCGCGUGGGUGAAGAAGGCCUUCGGGUUGUAAAGCCCUUUUGUUGGGAAAGAAAAGCAGCAGGUUAAUACCCCGCUGUUCUGACGGUACCCAAAGAAUAAGCACCGGCUAACUUCGUG